rnacentral:rRNA from 1 species
CCUACGGGUGGCAGCAGUGAGGAAUAUUGGUCAAUGGACGGAAGUCUGAACCAGCCAUGCCGCGUGCAGGAAGACGGCUCUAUGAGUUGUACACUGCUUUUGUACAGGGGUAAACCUGCCUACGUGUAUUCAGCCGAAAGGACUGUGCGAAUAAGGCUCGGCUAACUCCGGGCCAGCAGCCGCGGUAAUACGGAGGAUGCAGGCGUUAUCCGGAUUUAUUGGGUUUAAAGGGUGCGGAGGCGGAAUGAUAAGUUAGAGGUGAAAUGGCCGGGCUUAAACCGGGAACUGCCUUUAAUACUGUUGUCCUAGGGAGUAGAGGAGGAAGGUGGAAGGUAUGGGGUAGCGGUGAAAUGCUUAGAGA